rnacentral:lncRNA from 1 species
CUAAACCCCCUUCUAAAAGGAAAUGGAUCAGAGACGGGCUUGGAAAUAUUUCCCAACUGGCUGCUGUGGAGAAGGUGGGCCUGAUAUGUAUCAUUUGGAAAUUUCUCUGAUGUAAAGACUCCCGUGCUGGCAGAUCCUAAACUACUGAGAUGACAUCGCUGAGUGCAGACUUGGGAAGAGACACACACAAUCAGUGCUAACGAGCCUAGCACAGCCUUCUCCAGAACACCACUGAAAGCCUGAUGAAGAAUUGACACCUUCAGGAUCACACAUUUAUUACUCUGGGAUUAGAACUCGGGUGACCUGAACGCUAAACCGGAGCCCAUGUCACCCAGAAAGAUUUGCAUUUUCAGUCUCAUCUUUCACAUUGUCCUGUUAAAGAAAAUCUAAGUGCUAAAGUGAGCGCAACAGCAGAGUGGAUGAAGAGGUUGCCAUCUCGGAGCCCUGAGGAAAUUGGCAGUGGCCGAAGGUCUUACCAGAUAGCAUCUGGAGCCUACUAGUUGCUUCAGGGGCAAAUGGAUAAGUUUGAAAAGCAGCUAUAGAAUUAUGAAAAUGCAGAGAAAAAGAGAAAGCGAUGUUGGAACAAGAUUCAGAAUUACAGCGUCAAAUAGUCACUGAGAGAAGCAAUAAGUGUGUUGCCAGCUAAGAACCAAAAGGAAUUGUUGGAAAAAUCAGAUAACAGGAAGGCGGCCAUUGCUUGGAGAAAGCCCUAGGCUGAGGAUUCCCCAUGUUCCAUUGAUGAUAUUUUCGUCUAAACACAUUGGAUCCUUUGAAGUUCAAACUUUCUUUCCUUGAAGUUGCUCAAAUAUAGGAAAGUUCCCCCAAAUAAACAUACUUUAUGUUCAGGAGAAAAAGGAAGA